CCAAAUCAGUACUAAAUGCUUUCAAUGGGGUCUCUCUCUAUCUCUCCCUUAGAACCCCUCCAAAACCCUCGAAACCUCCAGAUCCCAUUUGCAAGAUUUAUGCAACAAAAGCAAUGGCUGGAUCAAAACCCACAAAAGUUUCAAGCUUUCAUUUUAGGGACCUGACGGAGAGUUUUGCCAUGGAUGUUAAGAGGGCAGAGAAUAGACCAUUGAUUGCACCUUUUUACAAUAGCCUAGGCUAUCAGCAGUAGCAGGUUUACCAGAUCAUAUUGCAACGCUUCUUAUGUGCGACUGUUCGAUCCUCUACUACUUUUCACAAAUGUUAAAUAUUUCCAGUUCAAGAUAAUACAUAAAAAUACUCAUGAAGUUACACCAAAAACCUUAGCAUCAUUUCAGUCCCAAAAAUUAACCAGAUAUUUGUAUCUGAGCAUCAUCAAAGCAUGUAUACAAAAGAUUUUAUAUAUAUAUAUAUAUAACACUGGCAUCAUAAAAAUCAAAUAUAAGAAAAUCAUUAAACCAAAUAGUCCACUUCCUAAUUAAAAGACUCAAUAAAACAAGCAAUCACCAAAUUAACAAAACCAUAAAUAACCAAUAACAAAAACCACAAGUAAUUCAAAUCCCGAAUACCAAAAAAAACAACAACUGAAACCCUCAAUUCUACACACCGAAGCAAACUCGUGUCCGGGAAGAAUGUCCAAAACCAAGCCCAGAGUCAUCGAUGGACUGUCCUUCAGCAAACUCGUGUCCGGGAAGAAUAUCGGUGCCUCACCCCACCCCACACAACCAUCGCUCAAAUCAAUCCUAAUUGCCACAUUUUCUACUUUAUCAAGCCUCGAUGAGGCUAUUGUAGAGGUUCUUCAAGCUAUUUGUGCGGUUCAUCAAAUGGGUGUAAUUCCAAAUUUUUUUGUUGAAUAACCAGUUCAUAGAGAUGAUUGGGAAGGACAUGAUCAUGUUACCCAUAUUGUGAAAGGCAAAUAUGGGGUAUCUGUUGCAGCAGAUGAGAGUUGUUAUAGUUGUUUAGUUGAUGCGAAGAGAAUAAUAACAGGAAAUCUUGCAGAUUUCAUUAACAUUAAGCUUGCCAAAGUUGGCAUUGUUGGGGGACUUGAAAUUAUUGAGGAGGCAAGGACAUCAGGAUUGGAUCCGAUGAUUGGUGGAAUGGUUGAGACCAGACUAGCCAUGGGCUUUACUGGUCAUCUUGCUGCUGGAUUUGGCUGUUUCAAGUAAGAAUUGUGAUUUUAUGGUCCUUUGUUGAAAAAAUUUACAUAA